rnacentral:rRNA from 1 species
AGGACGAACGCUGGCGGCGUGCUUAACACAUGCAAGUCGAGCGGUAAGGCCCUUCGGGGUACACGAGCGGCGAACGGGUGAGUAACACGUGGGUGAUCUGCCCUGUACUUCGGGAUAAGCCUGGGAAACUGGGUCUAAUACCGGAUAUGACCUUACAUCGCAUGGUGUUUGGUGGAAAGAUUUAUCGGUACAGGAUGGGCCCGCGGCCUAUCAGCUUGUUGGUGGGGUAAUGGCCUACCAAGGCGACGACGGGUAGCCGGCCUGAGAGGGCGACCGGCCACACUGGGACUGAGACACGGCCCAGACUCCUACGGGAGGCAGCAGUGGGGAAUAUUGCACAAUGGGCGAAAGCCUGAUGCAGCGACGCCGCGUGAGGGAUGACGGCCUUCGGGUUGUAAACCUCUUUCGACAGGGACGAAGCGCAAGUGACGGUACCUGUAGAAGAAGCACCGGCCAACUACGUGCCAGCAGCCGCGGUAAUACGUAGGGUGCGAGCGUUGUCCGGAAUUACUGGGCGUAAAGAGCUGGAAGGGAGGUUUGUCGCGUCGUCCGUGAAAACUUGGGGCUCAACCCCAAGCUUGCGGGCGAUACGGGCAGACUUGAGUUCUGCAGGGGAGACUGGAAUUCCUGGUGUAGCGGUGAAAUGCGCAGAUAUCAGGAGGAACACCGGUGGCGAAGGCGGG